CGAAUUUAAAAAGAGGACUAGGGAGCUUCUCCGGGGCGGAUUGAAUCGUCAGGGGACCAAUAAAAAGAAUAGAUCAAAGGGUGAUGAUGAUAAAAAAUCAAUUUCAGUUGUGGGUCCUCAUCAAGAUGGGAAAGCAGCAUUGGAGGAUUCAAAUGUUAAAUCAGGCAACCUAUCUAAGCCUGCUAAAAGGAAGCGUCGACAAGCGAAAACUAAGCUUUCACAAGCUCGACUUGCAGCAUACCAAAAUACUAAGGGCAAAGAAAAGCACUGAGCGCAAUCCAUAACUAAUGGAGAUGUGCCAUAGAGGUGGUGAUCUGAUGUGUAUUGGGGACUGCUAAUGCUCGAAGAUGUCAUAUGGGCUUCUAGAUAAUUAGAUAAAUAUGUUUUUGUAUCUUCUUUCUUUUAUAUAAUUUAUCAAGAAAUGCAAGAUUUUGACUUUGUUACGUUGCCUCAAUUCGG
rnacentral:misc_RNA from 1 species